AUGCCUGGGCACACCUGGGGGGCACCUGGGGAUACCUGGGACCCCCGGGGGUGGGGCCGGGCACACCUGGGGGGCACCUGGGGGCAGCUCCGCGGGUCUCUGUGCCCCCCCGUGCCCCCUCUGACCCCUCCCCCUCCUCUCUCUCCCCUCCAGGGCCGCCCCCUCCCCCUCCGGGCCGCGCCGGCCCCGCCCCUCCCCCCGCCCCCCCCCCCCCUCCUCCGGCCGCUCCCGCUCGGGGGUCCCGACCCCUCCCCCACCCCGCGCCGGCCCCGCCCCUCCCCCGGCCCCGCCCCCUCCGCGAGGCCCCGCCCCUCCCCCGCGAGGCCCCGCCCCCUCGGGGGCGGCCGCCCCUCCCCCUCCCCCCCCUCCGCCGCCCCCUCCCCUCUCCGGGGGCGCCCCCCCCGCGACCCCCCCGGGCCGGGGGGCGCUGCUGGACCAGAUCCGCCAGGGGGUGACGCUCAACAAGGUGGGGGACCCCAAAAAUGGGGGUGGGAGCCCAAAAAUGGGGGUGGGACCCCAAAAAUGGGGGGUGGGAGCCCAAAAAUGGGGGUGGGACCCCAAAAAUGGGGGGUGGGAGCCCAAAAAUGGGGAGUGGGACACCAAAAAUGGGGGGUGGGACCCCAAAAAUGGGGUAUGGGAGCCCAAAAUGGGGGGUGGGAGCCCAAAAAUGGGGAGGGGGACCCCAAAAAUGGGGGUGGGAGCCCAAAAAUGGGGUAUGAGAGCCCAAAAAUGGGGUAUGGGAGCCCAAAAAUGGGGAGGGGGACACCAAAAUUGGGGAGUGGGAGCCCAAAAAUGGGGUUGGGAGCCCAAAAAUGGGGUAUGGGAGCCCAAAAAUGGGGGUGGGAGCCCAAAAAUGGGGGUGGGAGCCCAAAAAUGGGGAUGGGGACACCAAAAAUGGUGAGGGGGACACCAAAAAUGGGGGUGGGAGCCCAAAAAUGGGGUAUGAGAGCCCAAAAAUGGGGUAUGGGAGCCCAAAAAUGGGGUGGGAGCCCAAAAAUGGGGAGGGGGACACCAAAAAUGGGGAGGGGGACACCAAAAAUGGGGGUGGGAGCCCAAAAAUGGGGGUGGGAGCCCAAAAAUGGGGGGUGGGAGUCCAAAAAUGGGGGAUGA
rnacentral:lncRNA from 1 species